rnacentral:rRNA from 1 species
UACGUAGGGUGCAAGCGUUAAUCGGAAUUACUGGGCGUAAAGCGUGCGCAGGCGGUUUUGUAAGCCAGAUGUGAAAUCCCCGGGCUUAACCUGGGAAUGGCAUUUGGGACUGCAAGGCUUGAGUGCGGCAGAGGAGACUGGAAUUCCUGGUGUAGCAGUGAAAUGCGUAGAUAUCAGGAGGAAUACCGAUGGCGAAGGCAGGUCUCUGGGCUGACGCUGACGCUCAUGCACGAAAGCGUGGGGAGCAAACAGG